AUUGAACGCUGGCGGCAGGCCUAACACAUGCAAGUCGAGCGGAUGAAGGGAGCUUGCUCCUGGAUUCAGCGGCGGACGGGUGAGUAAUGCCUAGGAAUCUGCCUGGUAGUGGGGGAUAACGUCCGGAAACGGGCGCUAAUACCGCAUACGUCCUGAGGGAGCAAGUGGGGGAUCUUCGGACCUCACGCUAUCAGAUGAGCCUAGGUCGGAUUAGCUAGUUGGUGGGGUAAAGGCCUACCAAGGCGACGAUCCGUAACUGGUCUGAGAGGAUGAUCAGUCACACGGGAACUGAGACACGGUCCAGACUCCUACGGGGGGCAGCAGUGGGGAAUAUUGGACAAUGGGCGAAAGCCUGAUCCAGCCAUGCCGCGUGUGUGAAGAAGGUCUUCGGAUUGUAAAGCACUUUAAGUUGGGAGGAAGGGCAGUAAGUUAAUACCUUGCUGUUUUGACGUUACCAACAGAAUAAGCACCGGCUAACUUCGUG
rnacentral:rRNA from 1 species